rnacentral:rRNA from 1 species
GACGAGCGCUGGCGGCGUGCCUAAUACAUGCAAGUAGAACGCUGAAGCGAGGAGCUUGCUCUUCUUGGAUGAGUUGCGAACGGGUGAGUAACGCGUAGGUAACCUGCCUGGUAGCGGGGGAUAACUAUUGGAAACGAUAGCUAAUACCGCAUAAAAUUGAUUAUUGCAUGAUAAUUAAUUGAAAGAUGCAACUGCAUCACUACCAGAUGGACCUGCGUUGUAUUAGCUAGUUGGUGAGGUAACGGCUCACCAAGGCGACGAUACAUAGCCGACCUGAGAGGGUGAUCGGCCACACUGGGACUGAGACACGGCCCAGACUCCUACGGGAGGCAGCAGUAGGGAAUCUUCGGCAAUGGGGGGAACCCUGACCGAGCAACGCCGCGUGAGUGAAGAAGGUUGUCGGAUCGUAAAGCUCUGUUGUAAGAGAAGAACGGGUGUGAGAGUGGAAAGUUCACACUGUGACGGUACCUUACCAGAAAGGGACGGCUAACUACGUG